rnacentral:rRNA from 1 species
AACGAACGCUGGCGGCAGGCUUAACACAUGCAAGUCGAGCGCCCCGCAAGGGGAGCGGCAGACGGGUGAGUAACGCGUGGGAAUCUACCCAUCUCUACGGAAUAACGCAUGGAAACGUGUGCUAAUACCGUAUACGUCCUUCGGGAGAAAGAUUUAUCGGAGAUGGAUGAGCCCGCGUUGGAUUAGCUAGUUGGUGGGGUAAAGGCCUACCAAGGCGACGAUCCAUAGCUGGUCUGAGAGGAUGAUCAGCGACACUGGGACUGAGACACGGCCCAGACUCCUACGGGAGGCAGCAGAGGGGAAUAUUGGACAAUGGGCGCAAGCCUGAUCCAGCCAUGCCGCGUGAGUGAUGAAGGCCCUAGGGUUGUAAAGCUCUUUCACCGGUGAAGAUAAUGACGGUAACCGGAGAAGAAGCCCCGGCUAACUUCGUGCCAGCAGCCGCCGUAACAC